UAUAGAUGUACCACUCUCUGUUCUCGUUUGUUGAAUCAACGAACGGCGCGCGUUUCUGGGUGGGUGAUUUUGGCUUUCGGAAUUUUCGCCGUCGCGACGGCGGAUCCGACAGAUUAUUCGGACGAAGAGUAUUCGAACUAUGAUUCGUUCGUGGACAUGAAUCCAGACGUUCAACCAGGCGCCCAAAAUCAAGGCUACAUGACUGUAAAGGAAGCCGAAGAAUACUACGAAAAAGAUUCGUAACUGUGAGUCAAGAUUGAACGAGAGCUUGGAUAUCUUGGAAAACAACGUAUGGUCUGGGCUGCGGAACGAGAUCGUCGCUGAAUUUUCGGAACAAAAACAGAAAGUUCUUAGUUCUUUUCACGUCCAGUAAAACCGACGUUUUCACGUGUGACAGCAUUUUCCAAAACAAACUAAAUGAGUUUGUGACAGACGCUGAGAAAAAAAUGAUGGACGCCGUCGAGCCUCUGCGCAAAAAAAAAUUCGUGAAAGAGAAGAUGUAUACUUGGACCUGGUAAAAACAAAAAUAUACUCGUCAAAUCAGUAAAAGAAUCAUACAAUACAAGCAAGCGAACGUUCAAACAUCAUAUUUUUUACAAGACUUGAAGCAAUACGAGAAGAACCUCGCGAGCGAAAAAAAUUUGUUAGAAGCACAUAUAAAUGUCUGCACGCCCAAAAGUAACUCCUUCACUUGCCAAUUGAAAGACGAUCUUAAAAGACAACUGAAUACAAGGACAAAGUGAUCUGUGAAAGACUGGCUCGGGCUUGUAAAUGACCUUCGCGCAGCCAUCGUUUCAACCAUGGAUUCCGUAAUCAACAAGUACGACGGUAAAUAUGUGAAGAAGCAAGUGUACGCGGCGCUGACGGAAUAUCUGUUAACUUUCGAAGCCAUCUGAUCUUUUUUUCUUAUCACAAAGUAAAUA